CGGUGUGCUGGGAUAACUGCUCUUAAUUUUCAGUUGAGAGGCAGAAUUUUGAGGUGAGGUAAAUGCAUAAUCCUUUAAAAGACUAUUGUUUUCUGUUGACUGGAAUGGAGUACAUUGAUUAGAACUGCUUUCAAAAACUUGACCUUCUUGUGAAUGUGGAUCAAUAGAAUGGUCAGCCAAUUUCUCAUAUGGCAUUCUGCCUUGGCUCCCAACAUAUUUUUUGGAGUCACUACUCACUUCAUCUGUCCCUGGGCUGUUAUUAGCACCUGCUCCAGUAAAUCCUGAUGCA
rnacentral:misc_RNA from 1 species